rnacentral:lncRNA from 10 species
CUUGUGGAUACAUAAGGCUGACUUAACAGAAGAGAGGAACGGACUGAGGCAAAUGAGGGUCAUGCUGGAAGCCAUGAUCUUGCAGUGUCUCUUAGCCUGGAGUACAGUGGUGUGACUGUAGCCUUGAAUUCCUGGGCUCAAGCAAUCCUCCCGCCUCAGCCUCCCGAGUAACUGGGACUACACGUGUGUGCCACCAAAACCAGCUGUCUUUUUUUAAAUAGAGAUGGGAGUCUUGCUAUGUUGCUGAAGCUGGUCUCAGACUCCUGGCCUCAAGUGGUCCUCCCACCUUGGUGCUUCCUUAUUUUUCUGUCAAGAAAAUAUUCUCAAAAUGCAGAGAGUAAAAUAGUUACUCAUUUUAAGAGAAAUUAAAAUCAAUUUAGAUGUCUUAUAUUAGCAGUGUGUAUGUAAAUGCAAAUUAAAUCCUAGGGCAGAGAAUAAUGCAUAUAUGCAUAUAGAUAUAUAAAGAUUUUGAUAUUUGGUAAAUGAAUGUAAAUAGUAGAGACGACUUAAGGCUGGAAAACUGGCAAAUGUUCAAGUACUUUUCAAAAAAGGGAAAUGGGCAAAUCCUGAAUAUUUCAUUUUGGUACGCUUAUAUCAAUUCAUGGAAAAACUCUAGGUCAGAUGAUUUGUGAGCUUUAAUAUAAGUUAAGUUUCACUAGUAGGAGCAAGAGUCUUUAAGAAAAUUUAUAUCCAUGUAAUACCAUUUUCUUUCUGGACAAUUGUUUGCCUAUAUUAACUCAAGGGAAUGCCAUAGAGGGUUAGUUUUUCCCUGAUAUAAGUAUGGACAAGAUGUUAAAAUGUGACCUAUAUAAUGAAGUAAAACAACUAUGAUCGGUGUUACUAGUAAAACAAAGUUAAUUCAAUCAAUGAAGUUGAAUCCUCAGUAGUUGCAGAAAUGGAUCCUUCCGACUCUAAAUGGUAAGUGCCUGUGUUUGGGGAUGGGAGAGAUGACACCAUGCCUUAAAAGUAUAUCGUUCUCUAGAAUGAUGAUUUUGGUUAAGAUCAUCAGAGGAAGAGAGGUCUCAUGAUGGUUUGGUACAUAUUAUCAUUAUUCUCAGUCUCACUGCUGUCCAGAACAAUUAAGAUAAAUGGGAAAUUCAGAAGAAGUGGGUGGAAUUUUUGGAUAUUAGUGAGGGACAAAAGAAUCCCUCCUCCACAGCCCUGCCUCUUUUCCAAAAUGAGAACAUCUCAGACAAUGAAACUUGGAUUGAGCUAAUGUGGACCUGGAGGGCUAGGAAUAUUUGUUAAUACCUCUCAAGGUUGUUUCAGAAUGGAUUGUUUUGCUAGUGGAAUGCUGAAAUAGAUCAGAGGUCUUCUAAUUUUCAUAAGUACUAAAAAUAAUAUGUAUCAGCCUGAAAAAGCAUGACUGAGAAAUUAAGCCUGAUUUCUUUUCCCACUUCCUUCUACGAUUGCCCUUCUCUUACACUUCACAAAAAAGGGGCAUCCUUUUCUUCUAUCUUGUGUUGCAACCAUUGUUGAAUUGUCUUAUAGUGUAGAAACCCUACUCUCAGUAUUAAAUAAAAUGACAAUUACAAACGUGAGUGUUUGCUUUGAGGAAGUACAUAAGUCUAAUAACAAUACCAAAUCCAUUUGCACGUCAUGAUUUCGAAUUUUUUGCUUUCAACAAACUUGGAGGAGUAUCUAAUUGAUUCGGUAUUUGGUAGUGGAUCAAAUAGAAUAGAAUUGAUAGUGAACCACUAUUUUGUCUGGCAAUAAGUAAUCUUCAUCCUCAGAU